AGAGCCCUGAAUCAAGGCCACAGUUUUUUGAAGCUGGUGGUUUCAGGCAGGAGCCUAAAGUUCUGUCUUUCUAUGGUCUGUUGGCUGUUUCAGAACUGUAGAAAUGAAACAGUCAAUUAAUUAGAAAAAACAACU
ensembl:snoRNA